rnacentral:rRNA from 2 species
UUAGCGGCGGACGGGUGAGUAACACGUGGGCAACCUGCCUAUAAGACUGGGAUAACUUCGGGAAACCGGAGCUAAUACCGGAUACGUUCUUUUCUCGCAUGAAAGAAGAUGGAAAGACGGUUUACGCUGUCACUUAUAGAUGGGCCCGCGGCGCAUUAACUAGUUGGUGAGGUAAUGGCUCACCAAGGCGACGAUGCGUAGCCAACCUGAGAGGGUGAUCGGCCACACUGGGACUGAGCCACGCCCCAGACUAAUACGGGAGGCAGCAGUAGGGAAUCUUCCGCAAUGGACGAAAGUCUGACGGAGCAACGCCGCGUGAACGAAGAAGGCCUUCGGGUCGUAAAGUUCUGUUGUUAGGGAAGAACAAGUACCAGAGUAACUGCUGGUACCUUGACGGUACCUAACCAGAAAGCCACGGCUAACUACGUGCCAGCAGCCGCGGUAAUACGUAGGUGGCAAGCGUUGUCCGGAAUUAUUGGGCGUAAAGCGCGCGCAGGUGGUUCCUUAAGUCUGAUGU